AGGACGCACAGUUUAUACCGUAGCUUGCUACACCAUAGACUGUGAGUUGCGAACGGGUGGGUAACGCGUAGGUAACCUGCCUAUUAGAGGGGGAUAACUAUUGGAAACGAUAGCUAAUACCGCAUAACAGUAUGUAACACAUGUUAGAUGCUUGAAAGAUGCAAUUGCAUCGCUAGUAGAUGGACCUGCGUUGUAUUAGCUAGUAGGUAGGGUAAUGGCCUACCUAGGCG
rnacentral:rRNA from 1 species